AGCCACUAGAUGAUAUUAUGUGGUUUUACCUGCCCAAUGUUAUUAUGAAUGGCCGCGGUACUCUGACCGUGCUAAGGUAGCGUAAUCAGUUGACCUUUAAAUGAGGUCAGGAAUGAAUGGAUAAACCGGGUUUAGCUGUCUCUGUGCUAUUAUUUUGAAUUUACUAUCUAAGUGAAAAAGCUUAGUGGUUAAAAAGGGACGAGAAGACCCUUAGAAUUUUUAUGAAAGAAUCACUAUUGGUUCUAUGUUUUUGUUGGGGCGAUAAGGAAAUAUUUAGAACUUUCCUUUUAAAACAAGCCGAUAAUGAUAAGUGAGGAUAAAUUACCUGAGGGAUAACAGCAUAAUUCUAAAAUUGAGUUUGUGACCUCGAUGUUGGACUAGGAAACUAGCAGGCUAGCCGUUUGCUAUGUUAGGUUCUGUUCGAACUUUUAUUCCU
rnacentral:rRNA from 1 species